rnacentral:rRNA from 1 species
CAGUCGCCACGGUAAUACGGAGGGAGCUAGCGUUGUUCGGAAUUACUGGGCGUAAAGCGCACGUAGGCGGCUUUGUAAGUUAGAGGUGAAAGCCUGGAGCUCAACUCCAGAAUUGCCUUUAAGACUGCAUCGCUUGAAUCCGAGAGAGGUGAGUGGAAUUCCGAGUGUAGAGGUGAAAUUCGUAGAUAUUUGGAAGAACACCAGUGGCGAAGGCGGCUCACUGGCUCGGUAUUGACGCUGAGGUGCGAAAGCGUGGGGAGCAAACAGGAUUAGAUACCCCAGUAGUCCCUGUCUCUUAUAC